CAGCAGUGGGGAAUAUUGGACAAUGGGCGCAAGCCUGAUCCAGCCAUGCCGCGUGGGUGAUGAAGGCCCUAGGGUUGUAAAGCCCUUUCGGCGGGGAAGAUAAUGACGGUACCCGCAGAAGAAGCCCCGGCUAACUUCGUGCCAGCAGCCGCGGUAAUACGAAGGGGGCUAGCGUUGCUCGGAAUCACUGGGCGUAAAGCGCACGUAGGCGGAUUGCUAAGUCAGGGGUGAAAUCCUGGAGCUCAACUCCAGAACUGCCUUUGAUACUGGCGAUCUCGAGUCCGGGAGAGGUGAGUGGAACUGCGAGUGUAGAGGUGAAAUUCGUAGAUAUUCGCAAGAACACCAGUGGCGAAGGCGGCUCACUGGCCCGGUACUGACGCUGAGGUGCGAAAGCGUGGGGAGCAAACAGGAUUAGA
rnacentral:rRNA from 1 species